rnacentral:rRNA from 1 species
UACGAAGGGGGCUAGCGUUGCUCGGAAUCACUGGGCGUAAAGGGUGCGUAGGCGGGUCUUUAAGUCAGGGGUGAAAUCCUGGAGCUCAACUCCAGAACUGCCUUUGAUACUGAGGAUCUUGAGUUCGGGAGAGGUGAGUGGAACUGCGAGUGUAGAGGUGAAAUUCGUAGAUAUUCGCAAGAACACCAGUGGCGAAGGCGGCUCACUGGCCCGAUACUGACGCUGAGGCACGAAAGCGUGGGGAGCA